rnacentral:tRNA from 1 species
UUAAUAUAGUUUAAUUAAAAUUUUAAAUUGCAAAUUUAAAGAUUAAAUAAAAUUUAU